UACGUAGGGGGCAAGCGUUUGUCCGGAAUUAUUGGGCGUAAAGAGCGUGUAGGCGGUCCGGUAAGUCAGCUGUGAAAGUCAAGGGCUCAACCCUUGAAAGCCGGUUGAUACUGUCGGGCUAGAGUCCGGAAGAGGCGAGUGGAAUUCCCGGUGUAGCGGUGAAAUGCGCAGAUAUCGGGAGGAACACCAAUGGCGAAGGCAGCUCGCUGGGACGGUACUGACGCUGAGACGCGAAAGCGUGGGGAGCAAACAGG
rnacentral:rRNA from 1 species